GAUGAACGCUAGCGGCAGGCCUAAUACAUGCAAGUCGAACAAUAGUCUUGUCUUCGGAUGAGAUGAGAGUGGCGCACGGGUGAGUAACGCGUACACGACCUACCUUACAGAGGGGGAUAGCCUUGGGAAACUGGGAGUAAUCCGCCAUAGUGUAUAUGAUCUGCAUGGAUGGUAUACUAAAGCUUCGGCGCUGUAAGAUGGGUGUGCGUCUGAUUAGGUAGUUGGUAGGGUAACGGCCUACCAAGCCAACGAUCAGUAGGGGGCUGAGAGGAUGAUCCCCCACACUGGUACUGAGACACGGACCAGACUCCUACGGGAGGCAGCAGUAAGGAAUAUUGGACAAUGGAGGCAACUCUGAUCCAGCCAUGCCGCGUGAAGGAUUAAGGCCCUAUGGGUUGUAAACUUCUUUUAGACGGGACAAAACCCCUUUACGUGUAAAGGGUUGAUGGUACUGUCAGAAUAAGCAUCGGCUAACUUCGUGCCAGCAGCC
rnacentral:rRNA from 1 species